GGAAGGAUCUCUUUUUGGAGAUUGCUUCUCUUGAAGUUUUUCCUGCAAGCCUACAACACAGGGCUCAACACAGGAAAAAAGAGGGCCAGUAUCCUGAGGAAGGUAGGCAUGCCUGUGAGCUGCUGUGUCCUCCUGACUCAGGUUUUGAGGAAAUGCUGAUCUUUUCUCCUGUGAGUGAGUCUGGUUCCUGCCAACCAGGUCAGUCCUUAAGUCUACUCAGAAGACAGAGUCUCCAGACCAUGCUUACAACUGCAUACAACAGCGGUGUUCUCAAGGAAGACACAAAUAUUAGACUGGUAGAGCACCUACUUACUCUUUUUGUUAUCUGUGGAGGCCAUUCUAUGAUGAUGAUACACUUCUCUUGCUGCAAGGGUAACUACCAAUGUGACAACUGCUUGUGUACCAGCCUGCAUAUUCCCUCCAGUUUGUCUACAGUCCAUACACAACCUGUGAUAGCAGAUACACCCCAGCAAACAUUUCGGUCCUUGCAUCUAAACAGUGCAGCUACAGAUAUGCACAAGUGUUUUUUUCUAAACGACUGGAAGAGCAGAAAAGCUGCUCAUCAGAACUGUUGUUUGAGGAAAGCUUUUUAAAGUAAAUACUAUAGUAAUAAUACAGUUCUGUGUAUUUUGGAUUUAGAAUUCCACAUGCUGGAUAAUAAAGCGUAAGUGGUACUGUCAGGGAGAGGAAGGCCAGGACAAAGCCAAGGUAUCAUAGCAAUUGCUUGGCAGCUUGCCUCAGAGACCUUCAGCUGCACGAGCCUUAUGGUGCACUCUGUCUGGGGUGAAAUUCUCAGGUGUGUGUAGUACUCUGAACUUUUGUGCUUCUGUCUCAAAAUGACAUGAGGUCUCAAACGAAACCAGUAAAGUCCAGUCAAGUUUUCAAGUUGGCUCCUGCUCUUGGGAUUCCCUGACGCUCUGGAGUUUGAAAGCCUCAGCAUGAAGGGAAAGCUAACCCACGUCUGUGGGAGAAAGGACAGUGUUUUCCUCAGUGGCUCCAGACAAACGGGGGAAUCAAACUCUUCUCCUGAAGAUACGGAUGGAGUAGAGCAUGGUGGUGGUCUCUUUUUAAAAGGCAGAAAUAAAAGUCUGCAUUCAAUUCAGUGACUUCCCUAAGGACAGCCGUUCAGAAAGAAGAUGCUGAAUUCUACUGCCUCCCUUCAAAGAGACAAUAGACUAAAGCAGGACUGAAAUGAUGAACUGAAAAUUGGAUUUAACAAGAGGUGUAAGAGGCAAGCAAAGGCUUAAUUUUUAAGAGCAGAAGAUAGUCCAAAACACAGCUGUGCUGCCAAAUGGCCAGGUUUGGAUAUGUGUUUGACUCAGGCUGUCAUUAAUUAAGGUAGAAGAUAAGAAAGCCUUGUGGGAUUUGUCCUACUAUUUGUGAAGACAACCCGCUGCAUUAAGUGACUGACUAACGCCAAUUAAGGGAAGAAGCAGAGCAAAGACUCAGUUCUGAGGGAGGAGGAGGCCUUUACAGCGCUGUUUGACAGUGCUAAGCUCAGAUAGCCCCCUGUAAGGGGUGAAAACUUAGGUGCUAGCACUGAGCAGUGUCUGGGGUCUAAUCACCAAUUACCUGGAGGACAGGGAGAGUGGAGGUAAUACAAAGGCCUUAGUAGUCAGUGUUGUAGAGCUUGCAUCCGUACGUGCCUUCUUUGUUUCGGCCAUGUCAGUGUCAUGCUGAGCUCUCUGCUGGACUUUGUGUGCACGUGAACUCUUCAAGAGGCUGAGGAGCUCGGGAGUUUUACCAUUGCGGCACAUGACAUCUGGUGCUUUCUUGGCGAGUAGAGUUGGUGUUCUUGUCUGUGGACAUGACAGCUUGAAAGCCGUUCCUAUUACUGAUUUAGUGACAUUGUACAAAGUCGGUAUGCUUUUAUGACUGUGCAUAUUGCUUUC
rnacentral:lncRNA from 7 species